GGUGCGGGGGAGUAGAUUGUGAUUACGUUACGGCGGGGACCAGGGCAAUAUGGUGUAACACAAAUCCAAUUGCACAAGUCCCGGCCUGCCCGUGAAUUGCACGUCUUCAGGGGAUUUCG
rnacentral:precursor_RNA from 10 species